UUCUGCUGUUGCUGCUGCGUGGAGGCUGACUUGACCAACUUGUGGUUGCUGAAGAUUCGACUCGCCUUGCUCUUGUUAUUCGUCUUGGAUGUGGGAUCGGAUCUUCUCUCCGGUCAUUUUUUAAAGCGCUGACGUGAAGGGAGCAGAGGGUGACGAGGACCCUCCGGGCCAACUGAUGCAAUUCGCCAGCUGGAAGUCUUCAAGCAACCAAUGUGAAGAAAAGAACCUGAAAGACACUUUAAUUGGGGGCUUCUCGACGAAAACAAAACGCCGCAAAUUCUUUUUUUCAGUGGUUAGUGUGUAAAAAA